rnacentral:rRNA from 1 species
UACGGAGGGUGCGAGCGUUGUCCGGAAUCACUGGGCGUAAAGGGCGCGUAGGUGGCGCGGGUAGUCAUCGGUGAAAGCCCCGGGCUCAACCCGGGAGGGUCGUGGCAAACCGGCGGGCUUGAGGCCGGUAGAGGUGGGUGGAACUCCUGGUGGAGUGGUGAAAUGCGUAGAGAUCAGGAAGAACACCCGUGGCGAAGGCGGCCCACUGGGCCGGUACUGACGCUGAGGCGCGAAGGCGUGGGGAGCGAACGGG